rnacentral:rRNA from 1 species
CUACGGGUUGCACCAGUAGGGAAUAUUGGACAAUGGGCGAAAGCCUGAUCCAGCAAUGCCGCGUGUGUGAUGAGGGCCUGCGGGUUGUAAAGCACUUUUGAUGGAGAAGAAAUCUUUCGGGCUCAUACCUCGAAAGGAUGACGUUAUCCAUAGAAUAAGCACCGGCUAACUCUGUGCCAGCAGCCGCGGUAAUACAGAGGGUCAAGCGUUAAUCGAAAUUAUUGGGCGAAAAGGGUGCGUAGACGGGUUAAUAAGUUAAUUGUGAAAUCCCUGGGCUUAACCUAGGAACUGCAAUUAAUACUGUUAGUCUAGAGUAUGAUAGAGGAAAAUAGAAUUCCCGGUGUAGCGGUGAAAUGCGUAGAUAUCGGGAGGAAUACCAGAAGCGAAGGCGAUUUUCUGGGUCAAUACUGACGUUGAGGCACGAAAGCGUGGGGAUCAAACAGGAUUAGAUACCCUAGUAGUC